rnacentral:rRNA from 1 species
GACGAACGCUGGCGGCGUGCUUAACACAUGCAAGUCGAGCGAGCGGCGGACGGGUGAGGAAUGUCUGGGAAACUGCCUGAUGGAGGGGGCUAACUACUGGAAACGGUAGCUAAUACCGCAUACCAUCAGAUGUGCCCAGAUGGGAUUAGCUCGUAGGUGGGGUAACGGCGCACCUAGGCGACGAUCCCUAGCUGGUCUGAGCGGAUGACCAGACACACGGGACCUGCUACACGGUCCAGACUCCGACGGUAGGUAGCAGUGGGGAAUAUUGCAGAAUGGGCGCAAGCCUGAUGCAGCCAUGCCGCGUGUGUGACGAAGGCCUUCGGGUUGUAAAGCCCUUUCAGCGGGGAGGCGUUACCCGCAGAAGAAGCACCGGCUAACUCCGUGCCAGCAGCCGCGGUAAUAC